GUACCGUGAGGGAAAGAUGAAAAGAACUUUGAAAAGAGAGUUAAAAAGUGCUUGAAAUUGUUGAGGGGGAAGCGAUUGGUAGCAGCGGG
rnacentral:rRNA from 1 species